UACGUAGGUGGCAAGCGUUGUUCGGAAUUAUUGGGCGUAAAGGGCGCGUAGGCGGUCUUGUAAGUCAGCUGUGAAAGCCCGGGGCUCAACCCCGGAGGGUCGGCUGAUACUGCAGGACUGGAGUACGGAAGAGGUAGCUGGAAUUCCCGGUGUAGUGGUGAAAUGCGUAGAUAUCGGGAGGAACACCAGUGGCGAAGGCGGCUUCCUGGCCUGUUCUUGACGCUGAGGCGCGAAAGCUAGGGGAGCAAACGGG
rnacentral:rRNA from 1 species